rnacentral:rRNA from 1 species
UACGUAGGGGGCAAGCGUUGUCCGGAUUUAUUGGGCGUAAAGCGCGCGCAGGCGGUUCUUUAAGUCUGGUGUCUAAGUGCGGGGCUCAACCCCGUGAUGCACUGGAAACUGGGGAACUUGAGUGCAGAAGAGGAGAGUGGAAUUCCAUGUGUAGCGGUGAAAUGCGUAGAUAUAUGGAGGAACACCAGUGGCGAAGGCGGCAUCCUGGCCCUGUCCUGACGCUCAGGGGCGAAAGCGUGGGGAGCAAACCGG